AGUGAACGCUGGCGGUAGGCCUAACACAUGCAAGUCGAACGGCAGCACAGUAAGAGCUUGCUCUUACGGGUGGCGAGUGGCGGACGGGUGAGGAAUACAUCGGAAUCUACUUUUUCGUGGGGGAUAACGUAGGGAAACUUACGCUAAUACCGCAUACGACCUACGGGUGAAAGCAGGGGAUCUUCGGACCUUGCGCGAUUGAAUGAGCCGAUGUCGGAUUAGCUAGUUGGCGGGGUAAAGGCCCACCAAGGCGACGAUCCGUAGCUGGUCUGAGAGGAUGAUCAGCCACAAUGGAACUGAGACACGGUCCAGACUCCUACGGGAGGCAGCAGUGGGGAAUAUUGGACAAUGGGCGCAAGCCUGAUCCAGCCAUACCGCGUGGGUGAAGAAGGCCUUCGGGUUGUAAAGCCCUUUUGUUGGGAAAGAAAAGCAGCAGGUUAAUACCCCGCUGUUCUGGCGGUACCCAAAGAAUAAGCACCGGCUAACUUCGUG
rnacentral:rRNA from 1 species